rnacentral:lncRNA from 1 species
GAGGUUAUCAUUUCUCUGUCUAUUUGAUGAUCAGAUGCUCAUUGCUUGUCAUCUGAAAUAAACUAGAUAGCUAGCUAGCUAGCUUAUUCAGGGUUCCUACCUUAGCUGCAAAAUGGAUGCAAUUUUAUUCUUUGUAACCUUGAUGGUAGUAACCUUUAAUUGGAAGUUAGGUCACACAACUCCAAUACAGUUAAGAUAAUUCUUUCAAGUUAGAAAUAUAGGGGGAUUUAAUUUGUCAGCUAUCUUUUUUUCCCCCACAUUUUGGUCAAAAUGGUAUUGGAAAAAAUAAUAAUAUGAACUAGAAGCACAAGUAAUAAUAAUAUAUUCAUAUUGAAAUUAAGGAAAAAACUGUUUGUUUUUUUUUCCUAGAGUUGACGUUUUAGCAAAUUGGCUGAUUUCCAAGUCUUGUACGUCCAGUAAUUCGAAUUGACUUGAUGAUUGGCAUAUGUAUACAGGGACAUCUGGAGGAAGAAAAAUUGGAUAGCUUCAAUGUUCCAAUCUAUGCACCUUCAACAGAAGAAGUAAAGCGCAUAGUUGAGGAGGAAGGUUCUUUUGAAAUUUUAUACCUGGAGACUUUUUAUGCCCCUUAUGAUGCUGGCUUCUCUAUUGAUGAUGAUUACCAAGGAAGAUCCCAUUCCCCUGUAUCCUGCGAUGAACAUGCUAGAGCAGCGCAUGUGGCAUCUGUCGUUAGAUCAAUUUACGAACCCAUCCUCGCGAGUCAUUUUGGAGAAGCUAUUUUACCUGACUUAUCCCACAGGAUUGCGAAGAAUGCAGCAAAGGUUCUCCGCUCGGCAAAGGCUUCUAUGAUAG